GCCUUGCGGGAUGAUGACAUGACCGAAAAUCUCCUAUCUGGUCUUGGCCCUGACUAUGAUCCCUUCGUCACCUCGAUGACUACCGAGAGUGAAGCUGUCACGUUUGACGAUGAGCUUGCACAUCUAAUGGCGUUUGAAGC